UACGAGGGGGGCGAGCGUUGUUCGGAAUCACUGGGCGUAAAGAGUGCGUAGGCGGUUAUAAAAGUUAGGAGUGAAAGCCCCAGGCUCAACUUGGGAAUUGCUUUUAAUACUGUAUAACUCGAAUUCGGGAGAGGAUAGCGGAAUUCUCAGUGUAGCAGUGAAAUGCGUAGAUAUUGAGAGGAACACCAGUGGCGUAAGCGGCUAUCUGGACCGACAUUGACGCUGAGGCACGAAAGCGUGGGGAUCAAACAGG
rnacentral:rRNA from 1 species